GUGUGUGUGUGCUGUGUGGGUAUAGUGUGUGUCGGGGGUGUGUGUGGUGUGUUGGUGUGUGUGUGUGGUGUGUUUGUGUCUAUGUGUGGUGCGUGUGAAGUGUGUGGUGUGUUUGUGGUGUGUAGUGUGUGGUGUGUGUGUGGUGUGUGGUGUGUGUGUGGUAUAUGUAGUGUGUGUGGUAUAUGGUGUGUGGUGUGUGUAUGGUAUAUAGUGUCUGUGGUAUGUGGUGUGUGUGGUAUGUGUGUGUAGGGUGUGUGGUGUGUGUAGAGUGUGUGGUGUGUGGUAUGUAGUGUGUGUUAUGUGUGUGUUAUGUAGUGUAUGUGGUAUGUGGUGUGUGUAGUGUGUGUGUGCGGUGUGUGUGUAGGGUGUGUGGUGUGUGUGGUAUGUAGUGUGUGUGUUUGGUGUGGUGUGUGUUUGUGGUGUGUGGUGUGUGUGGUAUGUAGUAUGUGUGGUAUAUGGUGUGUGGUGUCUGUGGUAUGUAGUGUGUGUGGUAUGUGGUGUGUGUGUAGUAUGUGGUGUGUGUGGUGUGUGUAGGGUGUGUGGUGUGUGUGUGGUGUGUAGUGUGUGUGUUAUGUGGUAUGUGUGGUAGGUAGUGUGUGUGGUAUGUGGUGUGUGUGGUGUGUAUGUACGGUGUCUGGUGUGUGUGUGUGUAGGGUGUGUGGUGUGUGUGUGGUGUGUGGUGUGUGAUGUGUGUGGUAUGUAGUGUGUGUGUUAUGUGGGGUAUGUGUGGUGUGUGUGGUAGUGUGUGUGGUAUGUGGUGUGUGUGGGUGUGUAGGGUGUGGUGGGUGUGUAGGGUGUGUGGUGUGUGUGUGGUAUGUAGUAUGUGUGGUAUGUGGUGUGUGGUGUGUGUGUGUGGUGUGUGUGUGUGGUAUGUAGUGUGUUAUGUGGUGUGGUGUAUGUGGUAUGUGGUGUGUGGUGUGUGUGGUAUGUAGUGUGGUAUGUAGUGUGUGUUAUGUAGUGUGUGUGGUUUGUGGUGUGUGUGUGGUAUGUGGUGUGUGUGGUGUGCGUGUGGUAUGUAGUGUGUGUUGUAUGUGGUGUGUGUGUAGGGUGUGUGGUGUGUUUACGGUGUGUGUUGUGUGUGUUGUGUGAUUGUGUGGUGUGUGUAGGGUGUGUGUUGUGUGUGGUAUGUGGUGUGUGUUGUGGGUGUAGUGUGUGUGGUGUGUGUGGUAUGUAGUGUGUGGUAUGUGGUGUGUGUGGCUUGCGUGUGGUAUGUAGUGUGUGUGUGGUAUGUGGUGUGUGUGUAGGGUGUGUGGUGUGUGUUUACGGUGUGUGUUGUGUGUGGUGUGUGAUUGGUGUGUGUGUAGUGUGUGGUGUGUAUAGGGUGUGUGUUGUGUGUGUGGUGUGUGUGGUAUGUGGUGUGUGGUGUGUGUGUGGUGUGUGUGUGGUGUGUGUGGUAUGUAGUGUGUGUGUGGUGUGUGUGGUAUGGUGUGUGCGGUGUGUGUGGUAUGUAGUGUGUGUUAUGUGGUGUGUGUGUAGGGUGUGUGGUGUAUGUUUCGAGUGUGUGUUGUGUGUGGUGUGAUUGGUGUGUAGUGUGUGGUGUGUGUAGGGUGUGUGUUGUGUGUGUGGUAUAUAGUAUGUGGUGGUGUGUGGUGUGUGUGGUAUGUGGUGUGUGUGUGGUGUGUGUGGGGUAUGUGUGUGUGGUGUGUGGGGUAUGUAGUGUGUGUGGUGUGUGGUGUGUGUGUGGUAUGUAGUGUGUGUGUGGUGUGGUGUGUGUGUGGGGUGUGUGGUGUGUGUGGUAUGUGGUGUGUGUGUGGGGUGUGUGGUGUGUGUGUUAUGUAGUGUGUGUGUGUUGUGUGGUGUGUGUGGUAUGUAGUGUGUGUUAUGUGGCGUGUGUGUGGUAUGUAGUGUGUGUGUAG
rnacentral:lncRNA from 10 species